rnacentral:lncRNA from 1 species
AUAGAAUGAAAAAUUAGAGUAGCAGUCUGCAGUUAAAUUUCAUAAGUGGUUUGGUUAGAAGCAACAAACUAACAACAUUUCUCCUCAAUAUUCUCCACCUUUCUUACUUUGCUGUACAGCUAAAAAGGUAUAAUUAUCUUUUCCCAUCCCUAAAUUUUUCUUCCUUUUAAAGUUAUUUCUGUGUCACAUUCUUGUGGCUACUGUGUGUGUGUGUGUGUGUGUGUAAAUAAUUAGAGCAACUAUCAAUUGAAAAGUUUUACAUGGAGGAGGUGGUUAUGUCUAGGACUCAAUUAAAAGUUGGAACUUGGAAAUUUGCUACUUUUAAUUCUCAUGAUUUAAAGAUGUUUAUUUUAGCACUUUCCAUGGCCAGAUACAAAGGUAAGAUAUUUUAUGCUGUGUAAACAGGUCCCAAGCACAUAAAAAAUAGUUUCUUGGUUUUGGUUUGGGAGAAUACAAGAAAGAAGAGUCAACAUGAUUUGUUUGAUCACACAGACCCUGUAGACCUCAGAGAUCCUUUGGUUUUCUGCUUUUCCCCUUCUUUUUCUAAAUGAUGUUUAUUGCUGGUUAAUUGGAGUCUGUGGAUAAUUAUCAAACAGUCAAUGAUUUAUUGAUCAUGUAUUAUAUACACAAUAUCAUGGUGGAUGUAAGAGUUAAAGGAGUUUAAAAUUGUAGUUUCUGUCUCUAGUAAAGAAAAUUAGUAUAUUUUAUGCCAGAUACUAAACUAUCUCAUUUAUUCUUCAGAAUAACUCUCUGGGACAAGUGGCAUUUCAUUAUUUUAUGGCCAGGACACUGUUUCUGUGAAUAAGCUAAGUAACAUGAUCACUAAACCAUGGGUAGGGAGUGGUGAGGCUGUGAUUUGAACACAGUCUGUCUGACACAAGUUCCUCUGCUGUCACUACUCUACCAUGUUGGGGGAAGGUGUAUAGAGCAGUUUUGAAUGCAGAGGAAGAAAAGGGCUGAAAAUGAGCUGACAUGAACAAUGUACCUGGGUAGAGAAGCUUAGAUCAUAUUUAGGAAACAAAAGAGCAGUUUGAUUAAAAUAAGUGACCAUUUGUAUUGGAGUAUAAAGGGAGUUUGAGAAAAUAUCAUAGGAAUUUGUGAAUGCCAUAUUGAUGAACGUUAUCUAUAGCAAGAGGGAAAUAAUUUUUAUGUAGGGAAAUAAAGCAAUUUUGAUAUAGAAUUAAUUUAUUGGGGUAUUUUUGUGUGUGGUUGGAUAGGAAGGGGAUUGAGGUAAGGAGACUGGGUUACUGCUAUUUUGGGAUAAAGACAAGAGUCAAAGCAGAGCCAAGAAGAAUUUGUAGGGUGUGUGGAAUGAUUCGAUAAGAGAGAGAACCAGAAGUCCAAUAUAACUCUAAGAUUGCUUGCCUAGAGGAGUGGAGACAAGGUCCUCCAGUGAUUGGUGGCUGUACUUAGGAUGAAAAACAUGCUGAUCUUUCACAGGGGUAUGAGCUGCACUAAGGAAGAACUCUUGCAUUUGGCCUGAGCUGUGUGGGUGUUCAGGUUGCAGGAAGACACCCCCCCCAAAGAGGAGGAACUGGAAAAAUUUUAAAAGGCAAAAUUUCCAGAAAACUUUAUUUUUCUUAGUUCCCUCUUGUCACAAGGGCAUCCAGUUACUCUUGAUUUAGAGGAGUGUUUAACACCUAGGCAUAUUUAAACUAAAGAGAUGUUGGACAUGUUAACUAAACAACCCUCUACCCUCCCUCCCUGCACACUGCCCCUUGUUUACUGUGCUUUGAGAUUUCAUUCUGUCUUCAGUUUAUUGGUGGAGCUUGAUUUUAAUUCAUGAAUGUGAAGAUAAAUGUAAGAUACUGAGCCCUCCUCUAUCUAUCAUGUCUCAGAAUUCUUUAUGUAUAGUGGGAAGACUCAUUAUCCCUCCCUAAACCUGAUGAAUUGGUAGAGGUGCCAAUUCAAUUAUUAAUUUCACAAUUGAUAUUUUUCAGUGAAAUAAUUUUGAAAGUUCGCUUAAAGGAAUAAGAAGUUUUAGCUGGGUCUGGUGACAUGUGUCUAUAGUCCUAGCACUCAGGAUUGCUUGAGCCCAGGAUUUCACAGUUCAAGACCAGUCUGGGCAACAGAGUGAACCCCCAUCUCAAAAGAGAGAGAAAACAAGAGAAAGAAAGAAAGAAAGAAGUCCUGUUUGUGGGGGGGGGAGAAAAUUCUGCAGGUUUUCCAUAUUUGAAACAUUUCUUGAGGGGAUUCAAGUUAAUGUUUGAGAGUAUUUUAUAUUAUUUUGAGGAGAAAAUUAAUGUCAGAAAAUUAAUGUAACAUGGGAAUUGAUGCUGUAGUAAUAAUUUAAUUUCUGACAUAAACAUUUAUAAAGAGGUUUCCGUAUUAGUUUCAUUCACUGGUUAUUUAAAGGGAUUUUGAUAUUUUAGUUCUAACCCAGGUUGCUUCUGUGUGGGAAUCAUAAAGUCAGGUUAUCAACACAUUUUAUAAGUUUUGUAACAAAACAGGGAAAGGAAGAAAGGAAAAUGAAUGCGAUUUAUUAAUGCAGCAAACAUUUUGAGAGUCUGUUCAUUGCCAGGGAGCAUACUAAAAUCUGUGAACAGAGAUGAAUAAGGUAAAGUGCCUAUCUUCAAGGAGCUUCAGGAUAAAUGGAGCAGGAAAACAUUUAAACAAUUAGAUACGUUAUAGAUGCAUUUCUCACAAUCCCUAACUUAGUUAAUAAUUUUAUUUGCAUUAUUUAUCAAUAUUUCUCCUCCCACAAAUAUUUCCCUCUAAGAUAGUGUGAAAAUUGGGAUUGUUGUUAACAGGUGUUCUGGUUUCUCAGAUUGUUCCUAUGUUUCUGUUUGAAAAAUAGAGCUUCAGGGGAAAAAUAAAUUUCUAACUGCUGUUCUCCAGAAAGUCCAGUGUUUAGCUUUUUAAUAAUUCACUGGAUAACCUGUGAUGAAUGCACAAUCUUUUUUUUUUAAAUCUUAAUUGCAUAGAAGUUUUGCCAUAUAUGCUUUUGUUAAGGGUUGUAAAUACAUUGUUAGCCUUGGCAUUUUUCUUGUCAGUUAAUAAACUAAGAAUUUGUUUAAUUAGGUAUGCAUUAGUUUCUUAAAAAUUUCUGUAAUGUCUGGUACAUUGAUGUCUCCUCAGAUCAUUUUCAUACUGUAUAUGACAGUGUCUACAUAGGACCUAGCAUGUGAUAAGCAUGCUCUAGAUUUCAGUUGAGUCUUCAUUAACAUCUUAGCGAGUAGCUGUGUAACACUAAUGCCCAUUGAAGGCCUGGUCCUAAGACUUUCCUGCUUUUUCACUUACCUGAAUAUCAACCUUCUUUAAGUAGCCCUGGGAGAACUUCGAUCCUUCUUAUCCAAAUGUUAAUCUUUUUAUCAUUUUCUCCAGUGUUUUUGAGGACUGUACCAGAAAUCCCUUUUCUAAGUACCACUUGUCUUCCUUAAAGAACACAGUUACUCAUUUUGUACAUACCCCUGUGUUGAACUUUGCUUAAUGGAUUUCCCCAUCAUAUCCUAUUUUUCUUUUUCCUAUUCACCUUUUAAAUUUAUUUUUAAAUAAAAUUUCAAGACUAUCUGGGAUUUUAGACACCACAUGGAUAAACUUUGUGUUUUAUGAAUUAGUUGUUUGUGAAGACUAAAGAGAUGAAAUAACUUACCCAAAGUUAUGAAUGUUACUGGUAGCAUAUAAUGGCCCAUUACACAGAAGAACAAUAGUAACUUUUAUUUUAGUUUAUAUUCUGUGCAAAGUACUAUGCUAUUAACAUGCUGUGUCCAUGCUGCAUAUGAUAAUCUGUAAUCUUGCUAUACUUUGUAUAUCAACCAGAUUACUCUUUGAUAGUUUACACAUCUGUUUUUUUUCCUAGUCUUACACAUCUCCAAAACAGAGAUCACACACUAUUUAUCUAAAUGUUCACAAUACCUAGAAUAGCGAUUGUAAUAAAUAUUGCUCCAUAUUCUGGGUAUGACAAACCAUGUCUUUUACUGAGGUAGAUACUAUCUAGAUUAAGGCACAAUUAUACAGUUAACUAAAUUUAUCUUUAAUGCCUUCCUAUGAAUCCAUCUAUCAUCUUUUCACCUUUUAGCCCAGCCCUAGGCUGCUUCUUGUGUAGGCUCUGGAUCUCUACCACUUCCCUUUCCAGUAUCCACUUGCAAAUGCUCUUUGAAGGUCAGAGUUAAGUAAGCUCCUGAUCACCCACAAGGCUCCUUUCCUCCUAAAGCCACUUCAUUAUUUUUACUCCAUUGGCCAAUAGCUGAGAAUAAUUAAAGUGUACUUUCUGACUCUAAAAAUAAAGGUCAGUGUUUUGUAGACCAUAUUUUCUCUGAGAAAAAAAUCAAUAAAUGACUUAUAAACAAGCCAGCUGCUGUGAAACCACCUACCCAUGAAGUUUAUGACACAGAAAUUAAUUUUUCUAAUCAUAGAAAGCUAAGUUUUGAAUCCGUAGCCUUCAUUAUGGCUUACAGUGUAGAAACAUCAUACAAAGAUUUUUGUCAUCGAGUCAAGACCCCUAAGAAAGAUGCUGCCUUGCCUUGUUAAUUCUUCUUUAAUUUUAUAAGAUGGAUGAGGAAAACCAAAGUCAUUUAUGUUAGUCAAGUACUCUGAUCAAAAUGUCUGCAGCAUAGUUCAGUAAGCUGGUUGUUUAUAGGAUAGGCAUAAAUCAACAUUUGUUGGAUUGAUGAGUUGCUUACUGAUUAGAAAUUCCCUUUUCUUCACUGUAAUUCAUAGUUUGACAUUCAGCAGUCAGGUUUAGGGAGGCCAGGUGGUGGUGCUCAACAGUUCACUGAGGACCCCUCCUUAGCCCUCAUCUGGUGGUUAGGAGUGCUUCUGUCCAUAGUUGAGUACCUAGUAAAUCAUGAAUCUUGUCCAGAAGUUAAUACUGUUUGCUAGAGAACUUAAGCAGAACUGACCUAAGGUAAUGCAUACAUACAUAUGCCUUAGCAUCCUAUUAAUUUACUCUCAAUUGUUCACCUGAUCUUUAUUCAUACGUGUCUUCACAAACAGCAGCCCAUAUCAAGAUUCGUUUCUGUUUGUGUUAAUAUAUUUAUAGAUUCUAGUGCAAAGGAAAGAUUUUCUGAAAUAAAAUAUUGUGGUCAUACAGAAAAGCAAGGAUAGCUUCAAGUCUAAAAAUAAUGGGGAGCUUGUUAUCUCUGUCAUGCAUGUUGUUUCAUCCUAAGGGCUGAAGCAGUUAAAAAACAUUAUAGUGUAGUUUAUUAUUUUUACUUAGCAAAACUCUUAGAUGUUUGAAAACAAUAGCUAUAGCAUCUUAAUAUGGGCUGCUAUUUGUGAAGACAAUACAUAUUCUAUAUAUUUUUUUACAUGUCUCACAAUUGUUAUUUUUGAACAUCAGUUUGGAAGCACAAAGGUCAGAGUUAGGAGGGGUGGAGGAGUAAUUUCAAAAGGAAAUUUUGGACAAGUAACAAAUAUUAUUAAAUGUAAAAAUCGCCUCUAAUUUCUUCAUUCCGUGCCCUGCAUUGAAAGAUGCUUAAUUACUCCUCCCUUUGUGUUCUUACAGCAUAGGUCCACUAGCAAAGCAUUGGGUUGUAUGACAAAUAGUUGUGUAAUUUAUCCCUGUGUUCCCAGCAGAGAGUAACUGGCACAUAAGAUCCUCAGCAAUGUGCGUCAAAGGAAAUGGAAUUAAUUCUCUUACUGUACUUUAGUGUAGAAAAGCCCAACGAGUCUUCACAGUCCUCUGAUAUACUGGGCGUUAUAUAUGUUAUAUAUGAUUGUGGGGUAAAAAUAGAACUUACAUGUCUGGGAAGUUCAAUGUACAUAUCUAUUUCAAUAUUUAAAUAGAAUUAUAAAGAGUAUUGUUUAUUGGGUCUCUGUUCCUAUUGUUUUUUGUUUGCAUGCUUCUGCUGUUUCUUUUGUGACAUGUUUAAAUUUAUAUGUUAAUCUUCUUUUUCUACUUUGGUGUUCCCUUCUGUUUUCAGUCAUUGAACAUACUUUUCAUUCUCUCUCUCUCUCUCUCUCCCUCUCUCUCUCUCUCUUUUUUAUUCUUUCUCCUUCAUCUUGUUUAUAUUGUAUGGAAUUGACAGCAUAUUGUCAGGGCAGAAAUAGUGAAGUAUCCGGAAGAAGAUAAUCAACAUACCAGCUCUUCUCAGAGUAGAAUCUGUUCAGUACAAUAGUCAGGUAUUAAUGGAUAAAUUAUUGGAAUUUGGGGAGGUGGGAGGGGAUGACCGAUGAAUGCUAUCUUGCUCUUUAUUCCUUUUGAAUAGGGAAAUUCAGAUGAUUAUUGUACAUUUUUGUAAAUUAAUAUUGCAUAAGUCCUGUUUUAGAACUUUGAAAAAUUGAUUUUUUGUCAAAAGACUUAAAAAUUAAAUAAGAAAUUGAGAACAAAUUAAAAUAACAUUUCAGUUACUUUCAAACAUGUUUGUCUUCAUGUGCAGUGAAGUGGAGAGUGGAGGCAGCUCUUUUCUUAUUCAUUCCUUACCAUUUUUUCUGACAUAGCUGGGAAUUGAAAGAGUAUUUUCAAAUUUGCCUUGAAUUGGCCUUUUUUGUCUGCUUCUAUGUGCAGACUUAAAGAGUUGAAAUCAGUAAAGGAUUUGUUUUAAUUUAAAUUAUUACUUAGAGAUAAAUAUUAGGGCAUUUUGAUAAAUUCAUUGUUUCAGAUGUUUCUUUACAUGUGGGUUAGUGGAAAGAAGAGAAGAAUUAAAAGUAUCUUUUAGAUUGAAUUAUUUUAAAAACAUGAACAUGAAGUCAUUUUUUAAAUUCCUCAUUAUACCUUAUUUUUAUUCACAAUCCAAUAGUGAGUUAUUUGGCAGUAAGUUAGGGAUUUAGGAGGCAAGUGUUUAAAACUAGAAAAGUUUUAAAAACUUGGUUUCCCAGAACAUUUCUGCCUUCUUCCUCAGUCCUCUUCAGCAUACCUCUCCUUACUGACACACAGACCGCUGUAAACAUUCUAAGAGGAGGUAUGGCUGAGUAUCCUGGUUAUGGAAAUAUUUAAUAGAUGGUAAAAAAUCAUGAAUUAAAGUAUGUGUAAAUGAUUUAUCUUGAUUCUUUUAAAUUAUGAUCAGGGUUUAAUUUUUCAUGUUGACCUGUCACAUUUUUAUGAGUCUGUGAAAACUGCAAAUUAAUGUUAUAAAACCAGAAAAGACUCAAUAACUGAGUUGCCAUUGCCUUUUUUUAAAAAAAGAAACAGACAAACAAGAAAACCAAAAACACAGCUGUUCAUUAGUUCUGACUGAUUCUUUCAGUAUCAACUCCUGCUUCUUUUAUGAUGUUUAUCAUCAGGGGUUCACCAAAGUUCAGAAAAUAAAAAUAUACUUGUAAGGAGCUCUUUCUGAUGUACCGAUAAUAACUCUUUUCUCUUAUGACAGAGGGUGGUGAAGGCAGAUAUUGUAAACUACAGCCAGGAUUCCAUGUCAAGAACUGUUCACCCACCCCGGAGCUCCAUGUGUGCAGUGCAGUGAGCGUGUUUUCCUCCUGGGUUGGAGCGCCGGCCACCCUGGGCCAUCUAGGAGCUUGUUUAUCAGUGACCAUCUCUGUAGUUCAGUUCCCACUCUCCUCCCCAUCGCUUCAUCACUAAGUGCUGCCUCUCAGCCACAGGCAGUGCCUUGACUGGAAGGAGUUCAACUUCGGGACCACACACUUUGAAAUCAAAACGGAAAGCCCACUCUGGAAUUGGACUGGUUCAUUGAAAGGAAUGAUGUUGGUUCCUUAUAUCCUCACUUCUUUUUUUUUUUUCCCCAACGUGAAAUUUUUUAACCAAAUGUGAAAACCGUCCAAGUCUUGAUCAUCAGCCAGAAUUUUGCCACAACACAGUUUCAUUCUCUUAUCUGAACUCACAUGUCAUAGUAUACUUCAGAGUGCAAAUAUUGAAACAAGUCACAUAUUUUACCUGCACUUACUUAAGAAGGCAUUCUUUUGCUAUCUGUUUUAAGUGAAAAUAUAUAAAGCUGUACCUAACUGAAAAUGCUUGAAAUAAGGCUGUAAUAGAAAUAUUUUUUCAUUUUUUAAAAAGGGGCCUAAAUUGUUUAUACUAUAGUUUGUAACUCACAAAGUAGUGAGUAUUUGAUAUUGUAUUUUUAUUACUGUAUCAUGGUCAUUAUGUAUUGUAUUAUGCUCAGCUUAGAUGGCUUUAUGAAUUUUAAUAAGUGUUCAGCUGAUGCUCCACAUGGAAUUUUCCCUACAAACUGUAUUAGAGUACUCCAGAAUGAGUUAUAACAUCCUGUUAGAUCAUUGUGGAUCAGACUGUACCUGAUGUUCAGAUGUUUUUCUCUCACAAAUAAAUUUAUUUAAAUUAAAUUUUUUAAAAAUUUCUUUCAGCCAUCUUUCUUUUUACUAUAGAAAAAUUAUA